UGGAGGAGGGCGCCGGCAGGGUUAGUAAAUUCACGGUGUGCCAUAGAGGAGGUGUGUGCUCUUCGAUUCUUCAGCAUUUCCUUUCAAGUACGUAUUGGCACAUACACUUAUGGAAGCCUGUCUGAAUAUCUGUCCCGUCACCAGCUGUGCCUAAGGUUGGCAAGUACCUUUCCGGCAGUCCGUCUUGAUGUUUGUCCCGUCACCAACUGUGCCUAAGAUACGCCCAGAGGGACUGAUGCCGUCAAUGUUUGGGCGCAGAUGAUUCAUCCCUCGUUUUCUGUUGCUCCCUGUGGCCGCACGAAGCCUGACUGAGCCUCGGCACGUCCCCCAGUGAUGAGGUUCCGUUGAGGGAGAGACGUCUGCGUGAGUUCCAGCUGCCUGUGGGCGUCGCAGUGUGGGGGGCCCCGCCGGAUGUCUCGAUCCUCCAACAAGAUGCCUGGUGGACGGGAGAUGUCUUUCACAGGGUGGCGGGGCUCCAGCUGGCAGACUGCAAUCGCGGUCUGCUGGAGGCAAGAGGAUAUGAUGAACUAUUUAUACAUCCUCACACAGCAUGUUAUGUACAGAUAUUGCAGGAAUUUUUAUACACUUGAGAAACGAAUUUGCUAGACACAUAUAUGCCUGUAAGACUGUAAUCAUUAAACUUAUGGAAACCUC